UACGGGGGGGCAAGCGUUGUUCGGAAUUACUGGGCGUAAAGGGCUCGUAGGCGGCCAACUAAGUCAGACGUGAAAUCCCCCGGCUUAACCUGGGAACUGCGUCUGAUACUGGACGGCUUGAGUAUGGGAGAGGGAUGUAGAAUUCCAGGUGUAGCGGUGAAAUGCGUAGAUAUCUGGAGGAAUACCGGUGGCGAAGGCGGCAUCCUGGACCAUUACUGACGCUGAGGCGCGAAAGCUAGGGGAGCAAACGGG
rnacentral:rRNA from 1 species